rnacentral:rRNA from 1 species
CAAUAGCGUAUAUUUAAGUUGUUGCAGUUAAAAAGCUCGUAGUUGGAUUUCGGUUAAGAGCGACCGGUCCGCCGUUUGGUGUGCACUGGUUGGUUUUAACUUCCUGUAGAGGACGUGCUCUGGGUUUAACGACCUGGACUCGGAGUCUACGUGGUUACUUUGAAAAAAUUAGAGUGUUCAAAGCGGGCUUACGCUUGAAUAUUUCAGCAUGGAAUAACACUAUAGGACUCCUGUCCUAUUUCGUUGGUCUCGGGACGGGAGUAAUGAUUAAGAGGAACAGUUGGGGGCAUUCGUAUUUCAUUGUCAGAGGUGAAAUUCUUGGAUUUAUGAAAGACGAACUUCUGCGAAAGCAUUUACCAAGGAUGUUUUCAUUAA